rnacentral:lncRNA from 1 species
GUCUGGCCGGAGAGGGUAGGGGAAGAGGCAAGUAGGAAGGCGGCUUGCUGUAACCCUCGGGUGCGGCUGUAGCGGGAGGCGUUUACCAUUCUGAGGAGCAUCCAUUUGAAAGCCCUCUGAGAUGAAAACUCUUGGUGAAUAUUUUGCAUAAACAGCCACGUGGAGAUGCAAGAGUGCAAAACAGAGUAACUGAAAGCUAUUGGAGGUUAGUUCACCACUGGAGACUACCAAAAGUCCUUUCUUUUAUCCACCC